AAUGGAGGCCCUAAUGUGAAUGGAGACUAGCCUGCUGGUAGAGACCUUGGCAGUGACCGCUGUGGGCAAUGAGCCAUGGGCCAACAAUAUUCAAUGCUGUGUACCUGAUGGAUGGUUACUGUCUGAGACUGAGGCUUUUUGGGCCAGGAGUAAAAGGACUUGGUUUGUACUUGAUUGCGUCCUGUGGAUGCUUGCCUACCAACUGACUCAUCCUGACGUGCCAAAGGUCCUGGCUUUCCCCUGUGUGGGUAAGGGAAGAAGAGAGUUCUUUGUUCCUAGUUCACUUCAACCCCACGAUCCUAAGCACA
rnacentral:lncRNA from 1 species